AUUAAGUUUUUUAUUUAUUAUUAAAAAUAACUAAUAUUUAAAUUAAAAAAAAUAAAUUUUAUUAAAAAAUUGAAAAAUUAAAAUUAAUUAUAGUGAAUUAGUAUUGUGAAAGAAUAAUUAUUAAAUAAAAUAAGAAAAAUUAAAUUUUUGUACCUUGUGUAUCAGGGUUGAUUAAUUAAUAAUUAUUUAUAUAAUUAUCUCGAAUUUAAAAGAGCUAAGUUUAUAUAUAUAUUAUUGUUGAAUAAAUAUUUAUAAUAUAAAUUUAGAAAUGAAAUGUUAUUCGUUUUUAAAUAUAUCUAGUUUCUUAAGAAAUAAAUUAAAUUUAUUAUUUAAGAAUAUAUUUUUUAAUAUGUAAAAGUAUAUUAUUAAAUAUAAAAAAUUUUAGGGAUGAGCUUAAAAUUUAAAUUUUAUAAAUUAAGUAUUUUAAUUAAAUUUGUAGGAUUAAUAAUUUCUAUCAAUAAAAAAUUGUUAUAAUUGAUUUAGUUAAUUAAAAAAUUUAUAUUAAUUUUAAAUUUUUUAUUAAGAUUAUAAUUUGAAUUAAAAAAAUUAUGUAAUAAUGAUUAAAUUAGUAAAAAUUUUUUUAAAAUUAUAAAAAAUAAUUUUAGAUAUGAAUAAGGAAUUCGGCAAUUAAUUUUUUACCUGUUUAAUAAAAACAUGGCCUAUUGGAUUUAAUUUUAGGUCUAGCCUGCCCACUGAAGUUUUGAAUGGCCGCGGUAUUUUGACCGUGCAAAGGUAGCAUAAUCAUUAGUUUUUUUAUUGAAAGCUGGAAUGAAUGGUUGGAUGAAAAAAUAUCUGUCUCUUUUAUAAUAUUUGAAUUUUAUUUUUAAGUUAAAAAGCUUAAAUUUUUUUAAAAGACGAGAAGACCCUAUAGAGUUUUAUUAUUAUUUAUUAAAAAUUUUUUAGAAUUAAGAAUAUUUUUAAUAGUAUAUAAUUUGAUUGGGGUGAUUGAAAAAUUUAAUAAACUUUUUUUUAUUAAAAACAAUAAUUAUUGAAUUUAUGAUCCAUUAUUAAUGAUUAUAAGAUUAAAUUACCUUAGGGAUAACAGCGUAAUUUUUUUUGAGAGUUCAUAUUGAAAAAAGAGAUUGCGACCUCGAUGUUGGAUUAAAAUUAAUUUUUGGUGCAGAAGCUAAAAAAUUGAGUCUGUUCGACUUUUAAAAUUUUACAUGAUCUGAGUUUAAACCGGUGUGAGCCAGGUUGGUUUCUAUCUUUAAUAUAAAAAAAUAUUUUAGUACGAAAGGACCAAAUAUUUAAUUUAAAAUUUUAAGUUUGAUUGAAAUUA
rnacentral:rRNA from 1 species